GCAGACACAUUCCAGCCAAUCAGCAGCAGACCCUCCCUCCCAGACCCUCCCACCUCCUGGACAGCUCACUAAGAAUGCAGCUUCAAUGAAUGUAAAUGGAUGCUGUCCAGGAGGUGGGAGGGUCUGGGAGGGAGGGUCUGCUGCUGAUUGGCUGGAAUGUGUCUG